UACGGAGGAUGCAAGCGUUAUCCGGAUUUAUUGGGUUUAAAGAGUGCGUAGGCGGCUUUUUAAGUCAGCGGUGAAAUUUUGCAGCUUAACUGUAACAGUGCCGUUGAUACUGGGGAGCUAGGAUUUGGUUGCUGUGGGUGGAAUGUGUGGUGUAGCGGUGAAAUGCUUAGAGAUCACACAGAAUAUCGAUUGCGAAGGCAGCUCACAAAGCCAAGAUUGACGCUGAGGCACGAAAGUGUGGGGAUCAAACAGGA
rnacentral:rRNA from 1 species